UACGUAGGGACCUAGCGUUGUCCGGAAUCAUUGGGCGUAAAGCGCGCGUAGGCGGCCCGGUAAGUCCGUUGUAAAAGUCGAAGGCUCAACCUUCGAAAGCCGAUGGAUACUGCCGGGCUAGAGUCCGGAAGAGGCGAGUGGAAUUCCUGGUGUAGCGGUGAAAUGCGCAGAUAUCAGGAGGAACACCAAUUGCGAAGGCAGCUCGCUGGGACGUUACUGACGCUGAGACGCGAAAGCGUGGGGAGCAAACAGG
rnacentral:rRNA from 1 species